GUUACAUUUCGAUUUGCUUUGCUCUGUUUUUCCUCAGAGUAUGAGAAUAGGGGAUUUAUAUAUUUGUAGUACUGAAUAUAAACUGACCUUAAGAAGUAUUGGAGGCAAAGAAACCCGACUCCAGCUGCAAAAGAAUCUUCUAGCAAUUGACAUGUAUGACUACCAUUCAGUUUUCUCCCUACUAGAAGUGGGAAAGAAGACAAGAGUGCACCCUUUAAAUGGAUCCGAAUCAUAUACUGACACUAAAUCCACUUGCAAGACCCGAAAUCCAUGUGGUUCUGGUUAGAUUAAAUAAGAACGGAGUCAUUUUAUAAAGGAGAGAUUCUGGUUGGGUGCGCAACAUCAACCCAUCUACGAGAUCGGACCAUAAAAGGGCAAACGCAAGCAUCUCAAUGGAAAAAGCCAGAUAAAUCAAAAGCCACCUUUAAUGGACCCAUUAAAACUUCCACCCACGCAACCGCCUAUCACCGAAAUCCGUGAAAGAACUAUGCCGCCAACACCUCAACGCCGUACGAAAACCCGUCUAAUCCGCACAGCCCUAAAGGCCAGGUUUAUAGCCAAAUUUUAAGAGCUCUACGCCUGCCGGAACGGCACUACGAUCGAGCACUUUCACUGUGGGCCCAAAACGAGAAGGCUGAAUACAAAUUGUGCAACAUGCGCCCAACGGUUAAAGUGAAAAAAUACCUGGAUAUGCCCGUCAUAAUUUUUUAAGUGUCAUAAAAAUAUCUCCAUAAGCAGACGAAACUAUUAAGUUGGCUCAUUAAUCAAUUUAGUCACAGAGCAACGAUAAAAAGGAGCACACGCGAGGGAUUGGAGCACAAUAAAGCCCGCUCAUCAGGCGGGGGGUCUCUGUCCCCCUCCUACCUGCGAUGGCGACUGGGAGUGGGCCUGGGCCUGGCCAACAAUCGAAUCCAUUUAUUCAGCCCUGUGUUCGGGCUGGCUUUAAAAACCUAUAAAACUUUUGGCACAAAUCAAUUAAAUAGCUACGCAAGUUUCCAUUAGUGUGGUGCUGUCGCGGUGCUGCUGCGGUGUUCCCAUUGAGAAUGCCACCCACUGUGGCAAAUAAAAAUGCGUUGAUGCUUUGCAUAUUCAAUUCGAUGAUGUCUUCUUCGACAUACUUGGAGCGCAUUUGUCGUGUAUUACCAAAUGUCCGACAUCAGCCAAUUAUGCAUGAAUCAGAGGAGAGACCAGCUAGAUUUCCACCUGCUGACCCACAAGACGGCCUGGCCAUAAACACAGAAAAUUGAUGGCUCUACCACUUUGGGCAUUGUCCCUAGCGGGGGGCUCGAAGCUUGUGUUUGAGGGUGGCUGCGGAC
rnacentral:sRNA from 1 species